GUACCUUGGAGGCCGUCCGUACCUCGGUGCCUCCUGGAACGAGGCAGCCGGUGCUCUCUAGGCCGCGGUCCGUCCGUGUCACCUGGAGUCGGCUAUGAGUGCGGCGUUUUGUACCCCGGAGGCCGCCAUUCUGAGGCCAGAAGUCCGUACAGCGCGGGUGUAAAGUCUCAGGAGACCAGGCGACCUCGGCAGAGUCCGCCGUUGCUGAGGCAUUCAGUGCCCUUGAGGCCGCCUGUACUGCCUGGCCUCCGCGAAUGAGGCAUCCAGGACGGGACAGAAUUAACGAAAACAUACACAAGAAAAAAGUACAAAGAAGGAAAAGAUUUGGAGGGUGUGAAAAAGCACCAUAUCUGCAAAGAAAGGCACCAUGAUGAGCAGAGCAUUUAGCUCUGCUGAUGUUUUUCCAUGCAAUGUGUUUAUAAGAUAAAAAUAAAAUGUUCGAGUGUC